UGACCUCGGAUCAGGUAGGACUACCCGCUGAACUUAAGCAUAUCAAUAAGCGGAGGAAAAGAAACCAACAGGGAUUGCCCCAGUAACGGCGAGUGAAGCGGCAACAGCUCAGAUUUGGAAUCUGGCCCCCAGGGCCCGAGUUGUAAUCUGGAGAGGAUGCUUCUGGCGCGGCGCCUUCCGAGUUCCCUGGAACGGGACGCCGGAGAGGGUGAGAGCCCCGUACGGUUGGACGCCUAGCCUUUGUGAAGCUCCUUCGACGAGUCGAGUAGUUUGGGAAUGCUGCUCAAAAUGGGAGGUAAAUUUCUUCUAAAGCUAAAUACCGGCCAGAGACCGAUAGCGCACAAGUAGAGUGAUCGAAAGAUGAAAAGCACUUUGAAAAGAGGG
rnacentral:rRNA from 1 species